AGAAAGCCCAGGCAGAGCUAACAACAAAUGUUAACGUUGGAGGCCCUGUGCAGCACUGGUGUCUCCCUCCCUCUCAUGAUUUUAAUGAGGCCUCACUCCAGCCAAGAAAAAAAGAAAUCUUCUGGCUUGAAUGGUUUCUCGAGUGAAUUCUAACAAAUAUUUAAAGAAGAAAUAACAUCAGUUCAACACAAUCUCUUCCAGAAAAUAGAAGUGAAAAGUUCCCAACUCAUUUUAUGAAGGUGGCAUUACCCUAAUGUCCAAACAAGAUGAAGACAGCAGAAAAGAAAACUACUGACCAAUAUCGCUCAGGAACAAAGAAACAAAAAUCUUAAAGAAGAUACUGGAAACUUGAAUACACAAUGGCUAUGAAAAUAAUAAUAUACCAUGACCAAGUGGAGUUUAUCCCAAGAAUGCCAGACUGGUUCAACGUUCAAAAAUCAAUCAACGUAAUCCAUCAUGUUAACAGACCAAAGAAGAAAAUCCACAUGAUUAUA